UGGUACUAGAUCACUUUUUAUAUGUGCUCC
rnacentral:piRNA from 1 species